CUACGGGAGGCUCCAGUGGGGAAUAUUGGGCAAUGGGCGCAAGCCUGACCCAGCAACGCCGCGUGAGGGAAGAAGGUUUUCGGAUUGUAAACCUCUGUCCUUGGGGACGAAGAAGUGACGGUACCCAAGGAGGAAGCUCCGGAUAACUACGUGCCAGCAGCCGCGGUAAUACGUAGGGAGCAAGCGUUGUCCGGAAUUACUGGGCGUAAAGGGUGCGUAGGCGGCAUAUUAAGUCAGGUGUUAAAUACUCGGGCUCAACCCGGGGGCUGCAUUUGAAACUGAUAUGCUUGAGUGUGAGAGAGGAAAGUGGAAUUCCUAGUGUAGCGGUGGAAUGCGUAGAUAUUAGGAGGAACACCAGUGGCGAAGGCGACUUUCUGGCUCAUAACUGACGCUGAGGCACGAAAGCGUGGGGAGCAAACAGGAUUAGAUACCCUUGUAGUC
rnacentral:rRNA from 1 species